GCGGACAGUAGCACCGGAUAGUGAAUACUUAACUCGCAAUUAUUAAUUUUACAAAAUUAUAACUGCACCAUACUUUCAAUUUUCAACCUUAAUCUUUCAAUUACGGUUCAUCCAAAGAUGAAAAUACAUGCGCCAUAAUCAGCGCGACGCUCGGCAAAAUUCUCCUGGAUAUGCCGUCAAAUGGACUUCCGCAGAGAUUUCGCACAAACGAUGGUGAUUACAUCACUCUACUGAUGCAAAGAAUUUUUCAACUCAGAAGCGGGAAUACUCUAAAUUUGUACAGCAGUCAAGGAUCAUAAUGGAUCCCAUGGUCCAGCAUUGACGAAGGAUGAACCAUGCUUUCUGAGCUUCACAUCAUGGGUUACAGAUAUCAACUUUACUUUGAAGGGGUGAGAAUGAAGUCCCACUUGGUGCUUGGUCAUGCAUAUCAAUGAGUAAUAUCUAUUUCACAAGCCUCCAAAUUGUGUAAGUUCUGGCUCUUUUUUAAACUCAGAGUCUUCUAGAAAGUUGAUAUUCCGG